CCUAUACUUGUAACUUUCAAUGGCUCAAAGCAGAAGCUCUGCUAUAGGAAAAUGACUGGGAAUGUAAUGAUGAAUCUGCUAAUCAAUCAGGAUGAUACUUUAAAACCUUUUUAAAAAUGUUUUCUUUCUUUAACCAUUUUUAAAUGAUUUGUAUAUUCUUGUUUUAUGUGAACUGGUUUGGCCUGCAUGUAUGUCUGUGUGAGGGUGUCAGACCCCCUGGAACUGGAGUUACAGGCAGUUGUGAGCUGCCAUGUGGGUGCUAGGAAUUAAACCCGCAUCCUCUGGAAGAGCAGCCAGUGCUCUUAACCACUGAGCCAUCUCACCAGCUCCCUGAUAUCUUACCAUCUUUAUGGGGUUCUAGACCUUCGUUUUAACUUUGGUGAUACAAUGUCUAGGUGACAGAGUUCAGUCUUGUGGGGCUUAUGUGCCAGUCGACAGAGACAAGCUGUCAGGCUAAGUACUUAUUGUGCAACAUCAAAACAGAAUGUGCUUUCAGUUUCUAGUGCCUGCUUGAUGUCUGCUCAGGACAGCAAUCUGUUCCUGUAGGGGAAAUAUGCCAGACCCCAUGGUUGUCCUUCCCAUUUGUAGAUGAUGGACAAUUCUUUGGUCACUUUAAACUGGUGAAAGAGCCUCAGUUUAAAAACUGAAAUCAGGGCUGGAGAGAUGGCUCAGCGGUUAAGAGCACUGGCUGCUCUUCCAGAGGUCCUGAGUUCAAUUCCCAGCACCCACAUGGUGGCUCACAACCAUCUGUAAUGAGAUCUGGUGCCCUCUUCUGGCCUGCGGAGACACAUGCAAGCAGAACACUAUGUACAUAAUAAAUAAAUCUUUUUAAAAAAUGAAAUGAGGGACUGGAGAGAUGGCUCAGUGGUUAAGAAUGUGUAUUGCUCUUCCAGAAGACUAGAGCUUGGGUUCUAGCAUUCUCCAAUUACAACAACCUACAACACCAGCUCCUGGGGAUCUGAUACCCUCUCCUGGCCUUCAUGGGCACUUAUACACACACACACACACACACAUACACACGCACACUGAGUAAAAAAUAAAGAUUAAAAAUCCAAAUGACCACUGAAAGGCAAUAAUCAGAUGCUUCAGCUGGGGGUGUAGCCUAGUUGGUAGAGUGUAUGCCUAGCACUCAUAAAGCCCUGGAUUCAAUCCCCAGCCCUGCAUACCAACCAAGUACCCUGAUGCAAACCUGUAACCCCAGGAUUUGGGAAGUAGAGGCAGGAGAAUCAGCAAUUCAAGGACAUCUCUGGCUAUAUAGUGAGUUAAAGGCCAGCCUAGCAUGACCCGGGACCCUGUCUCAAAAAUCUGAAGCAGCUGGGUAGUGGUGGCACAUGCCUUUAAUCCCAGUACUCGGGAGGCAGAGGCAGGUGGAUCUCUGUGAGUUCGAGGCCAGCCUGGUCUACAGAGUGAGAUCUAAGACAGGCACCAAAACGACACAGAGAAACCCUGUCUCAAAAAACAAAAACAAAACAAAACAAAAAAAUCUGAAGCAUGAAAUAAAAUAAAGAGAAAGGAAUUUUUUGUAUAACUCAUGCUGAUUGCGCUGCAGGAACUCUGGAAAGGAUUAUUUAUUUUAAAAAGAUCCUUCAAUUCUAUGCAGAGGUUGAGUCAGCACUUUUGAAUUACGGUAGAUCACUUUCUGACUCUUGGAACAUGGAUAUAGCCAACUCUGCUUUCUCUUAUUUACCUCCUUAUCUGCCCCUCUUCCUGGCUGGUAUUUCACUUCCUAUAGAGGGUGGAGAUUAUAUGUGUGUGGAAAGUGGCAAGGGAAUGUACUGUUCUUAGCAGGCUGAGAGAUUUUGUGUCUGGGGCCCGCAGAUGGUCCAGGCUGAGCCUCUCUGCACGCUCCUGGUGAGUGAUGCUUGCGCUUCCUCAGCUUCUAGGAAGAACAGAUCUUAGCUGGGUCAUUGUAUCUCUAGGAAACCAGAACCCAAAAAUCCUUUCUGAUUUUUCUUGUAUGGCUCAGGGUACAGUUUGUAUGUAUGGCAACAUUUAUAUGUUGGAAAUUUGAUCCCCAAUUCUUCAGAUGUGAGAGGUGGAGCUCCAGGAAGGUUUUAGGUGUUAGCUCUGCCCCAUAACAAGAUUAGUGAUGCCAUGAGAUGGACUCAUGGGAACAGGCCCUCUCUCUAGUUUGUUCUUUUGCCAUGUGGAAAAAUGGCCUUUUCCCCUCUUCUCCCUCCGACAUUCGAGGUGUCAUUUGGGUAGUAGGAACUGGAUGCUCAUGAGAUACCCAAACCUCCCGGCACUUCGAUCUUUGACUUCCCAGCUUCCACCACACUGAGACCAAGAGUUCUGUUCUCUAUUGAUUUCUCAGUCUCAAGUAUUCAGAUCUAAUGGCUUCAAAAUGGACUGAGACAGUCUACAUGGGUCCAUAGCAAAUACUCAGACAUCUCUUAUCACAGCAGGCUUUGUAGCUGCAGACAGAGCCCAGGACAGUACCUGCUCUGCUGUUUCCCCAGGAUACCCACUUUAGUCUUCUCAGGCAAGACUCAAUACAGUCUCAUAUCUGAUGCACAUCUCCCAUCCCACUAACCAUGGAAAGCAGUUGCAAUGUCUCUAAAUGGCCCUGUCUCUGCAAUACCCACAUGCCUCUCAGGACAGCAACAACUCCUUCCAGGGAAAUCCUCCAUAAAUCCCCCUUUUGUUUCCCUGCAUUUUUUGAUCUAGCUGAAGGCACCAUGAAUCAGGGAAGGAUUCGUGACCAUUCCCUUUGUAGAUUUUUAUAGGUGGUUACCUAGCCUCAAUAGUUCACAUUUAUUUCUUCAGUGUUUAGCUAAGGGACUUCCAUUCUAACAUCCCAUUACAUGGGGAAGCAAAUGCAUUAAGGAGAGCGUGAUUUCAGACAGUAAUAAACUCCACGAAGAAAUGGGAACAAGGUGAUGUGAUGUAGGGCAGCCUGGGGGAAGAAGAGCUCAUUCAUAACAUGUCACAGGGAAGUCAUCUAUCUCCUAUCAGGCACUGGGCAUGAAGCCACUUCCACAGGAUAUGGAGAGGAUAAAGCAUUCUGGGCAGUUGGAAAGACAAGCAAUGCCCUGCUGUUGUAACACAGUUUGAAAGAAGCCUAUCCUCACAGUGACAUGAAAACUCAAUCACCACAUUUAUGAAUCACAAGAAGGAUCUCAGUUUAUAUUUCCAAGAGAACAAUGGACAUGAACACACAGGGGAAGGAGGGCUGUUACAGAGUAAAAGAGCCUGAGGAGGAAACCAAGCACUGAGUCCCAUCUCAUUGACAUCCUUUCCAAAGCGUCUUUGCAACGAACCCAGGAACUCUAAAUAGAGGAUACAAAUAAGCAGCCAGAUUAAGAGACUCGAGAUAAAAGUCAAGAAGCAUCCUGAACACAAGAUCUCAUCCUGGAGUUGGGAUGGGCUGCCAUCUCGUCACCUAAAUGAAUUUUUGUUCAUCUUCCUGUAAGUCUCAGUGUGUUUAGCUGAUGAGAAGUUCUCCCAGUCUUAUCCUUUGGAGUUUGGUAAAGAUUUCUUUGGAUAAGUGGGACUGAAAUAUAGAUGCCAGUGUGGGAAGGUGAUCGGACACAGAAAGUGGGAGCUAACGCUAACAGACGCAGAUGAGAGCCUGGCAGGGAUGUGUGUCCAGAAUCUCCUUGACUUCACUGAGCAGCAUUCCUUCCUCUAGGGCUUAGGGAAUGACCCCUUCUGAAGUGAGUAUCCAUUGGCCUGUUGUUGGAGGAUUUCUGUAUGGUUGGUUUCAAGGCAGAAGGCCUGGGAUUCUCUUUGGGGAAGAGAAAUUCUAACUUCUGUGGCUCACCUUGCAGAGAAAAAGGAGUAAGUUAGAGAGAAAGAGAUUGCUCUGUGGAUCACUUCUGGGGUCCCAAACUACCCUCUAUACUGUAAAAAAAAAAAAAAAAGGAUUGUUUUUCAUUUUUAUUGCUCUGAAACCGCUUCAGCCCCUAAGGAUGAGAUGCCAAUUAUUAUGCUUCAACAAAACACAUGCUCAUUGUUCUAGUCAUUCAGGAAAAUAACAAGGGUUAUUAUGGGAGUUGCAAUCCAGGAUCUGUGGUAGGAAAACACAACGUAUAUGUCAUACUAUCACAAGGAGACUGGAGAGUAGGCAGAGGCUGGCUUACAGCUCCGUGUGGUUAUCCGAAGAGGAAAGGGGAUGGUUAAGAGUGGUCGGAGUGGGCUGGAGACAGCAACAGUGACAGACAGAGCUGUCAGACCGGAUAGAAGGGACGGCUUCGGGCACAACUCUGAGAAACACAGGUCUUACAUUUACUCGUGGUCGGAUCAAUUAUGCAAACACAUGUUUAUCUGUAGAACUAUUCUGUCAGCAUUUAGGGAGCUUUUAAUUCAGCCUGAAGUCUCGGACCCAGCAAAGGAGCUUCAGCUUGAGAUCUGUCUAUAGGCAAGGCUGUCUAUUGGUAAGCCGUUUGUUAUUGGGGCAGCUUUUCUUUUCCUUUCUGGACAACUGAUAAUGCAAAUGGAAGUGUGCCUCUGUCAUCAUGCACUGGCCAGUGGCUUGGGUUUCCUGGAUAUAACCUAAUCUAAUUAAUGUCUUUUAUUCCUGAGGCUAUCUACCCCCUGUAUGUGAAAUAUUUUUGUCACUAUUAUGCUCUGAUUUCCCAGCACUAAAAUAAUAACAACACAACAAGAAUACCAGUGGUGGUCUUAUUGAUUAAGUAGGAGGCUCUGAGUGGUGCUGGAAAUGCAGAUAGCUGGGACAGUGCUGUAAGAUGGACGGACCUCACCCCUCACAGGCAGCUGCCGCUUAAUCCAUUCUGUAUUUACUCUGUCAUCCAGCCUGGCCCUUGAUUUCCUCCCUCUGCUAGGCCUACCUUGUCAUGCUGUUCUCUAGAAAAUCAGGUCACCCUGUACCUAACUUUUCCCUGGUCAAUGAUUUUUUAGCUGCUUACUGAGCCGCUGUGUUGUAUCUAAUCCUCACUCAGCCCCAGCUAUGUGCCCUGCCAUUAGGAACAUUAUAAAUCACCACUUAAGGACCAUAAUACCUACGUUAAUGGUUGGAACAAAAAGUCACCCCCUCCCUUGUGUCCAAGUGGCAGUUAGAGGAUGCUGGUCCAGGCUCUCCACCGUCCUCCUAACAAUGGCAGGAGCUUCUAAGUUUUCAGACUUCACUACUCGCAGCCCAUCUUUCUCCAGAGCAUGCUCGCUGCUUCUUGCCCUUUUCUCUGCUGCUGGAGAUGGAGACCUGCUUUCCAAUCAUGGGGUUUUCCUAACAGGAACCAACCACAGCCACUUGCCGACAGAUAAGACCUUGCCAUAUUUAAGGCACACUUCCUUAUAAGUAAAUAAGAGUGUGGUUUCUUCUUUAUUUUUUUCUUAACAUUGUGCCAGGAUUGGGAAGACUUUAGUGACAAUCCAAGGACAUACAAUUUGUAUCUUUCAGAAGGAGAAGAAGAAGAGGAGGAGGAGGAAGAGGAGGAGGAGGAGGAAGAGGAGGAGGAGGAAGAGGAAGAAGGCCCUACACAGAUGCUAACAGUCACUGUGAUGAUGAAGUACCUGCAUGGGGCAGGUUAUACAUAUAUGUGUGCAUGAAUAUAAAAAGGGCAGAAUUACAGACUGCCUGGUUCUCACAUGACUGUCAGUGCUGACUAGGCAUGGGACAACUCUCAGAAACAACAGCAACGGCUAACCAGUCAGUUGUGUGGUCGGGGUCAAACAAAUGUCAGCCAUGUUCUGCCUCUGAAGAGUUUCAUCCAAGCGAGCUACCCGGGACUUCCAGCCACAAAUAGACAACGAUAAUUAUUGUGAAUUCUGCCUCCCUGCUUUUGCAACUGUGCUGGGUGCCAGGGGUAUGGCCAAGGUUAAAUUCACCACUUACUUCCCAAAUUGAAGACAAGAAGUUGCAGAAUCUCAUGGAAUAAAAGAGGCAUGGACCUAAUUUGAAUAUUGUGAUGACUUCUUGACACUUACUGUCUCUGAACGGAGAGUAGACUAUACCUUUAGGUUGUCAUCUGUGGGGAGAAGAGGCGUGACUUGAAGCUAUAAAUGUGAUCAAGUUAGACAAAAGCAUCCCUGAAAGUACUGGAACAGAGAAAAGAUUCUGUGUGUCAGGCAGGUGAGCAGAGUAACAAAACUGACAAAUUUGGAUUAUUUGUCCUGUCCAGUGAUGUCGGAAGAGACAGUUCUGUGUAUCAUUUAGACAUCUCCCUCUGUAAUGCCACAGCUAUGAGAUUUGGGAUGGAUCUCUCAUGUUGGGGAGCUAGACUUAUGAAUGGAUAGGCUCAUCCAAACACUCUUAAGAUCUGAGCAAAGACACAUAGAGUCUAGAGGGGGCUCUGGAGUUGGGUUCUAAACCCUGGUAAGCCAGGGAGUAAGCUGAGGAAGGUGGUGGGGUAUGGGAUAAGAACAAAGCAAGUCUUUGGAGCUGAUGGCUCCUGAGAGGAAGAGAGCUUCAUGCUGAGCCGGUUUCUCUGCUCUCCAGGUCUUCUGGGGUCCUUGAAGUUCAUUGUCUUCUGCUUUCUUAUACUUAAGCAUAAGCAUAGCAAUAAGCAUAAAGUGGAAAUUCAAGAGCAAGAUCUAGGCAAACAUUUUUUCAGAUCCAUUCACAUCUCCAUGUACCUAAGACCCGAGAGUGUAUGAAUUCACACAA